rnacentral:rRNA from 1 species
AACGCUAGCUACAGGCUUAACACAUGCAAGUCGAGGGGCAGCAUUUUAGUUUGCUUGCAAACUAAAGAUGGCGACCGGCGCACGGGUGAGUAACACGUAUCCAACCUGCCGAUAACUCGGGGAUAGCCUUUCGAAAGAAAGAUUAAUAUCCGAUAGCAUAUUGAGAUCGCAUGAUUUUGAUAUUAAAGAAUUUCGGUUAUCGAUGGGGAUGCGUUCCAUUAGUUUGUUGGCGGGGUAACGGCCCACCAAGACUACGAUGGAUAGGGGUUCUGAGAGGAAGGUCCCCCACAUUGGGACUGAGACACGGUCCAAACUCCUACGGGAGGCAGCAGUGAGGAAUAUUGGUCAAUGGACGAGAGUCUGAACCAGCCAAGUAGCGUGAAGGAUGACUGCCCUAUGGGUUGUAAACUUCUUUUAUAUGGGAAUAAAGUAUUCCACGUGUGGGAUUUUGUAUGUACCAUAUGAAUAAGGAUCGGCUAACUCCGUGCCAGCAGCCGCGGUAAUACGGAGGAUCCGAGCGUUAUCCGGAUUUAUUGGGUUUAAAGGGAGCGUAGGUGGAUUGUUAAGUCAGUUGUGAAAGUUUGCGGCUCAACCGUAAAAUUGCAGUUGAAACUGGCAGUCUUGAGUACAGUAGAGGUGGGCGGAAUUCGUGGUGUAGCGGUGAAAUGCUUAGAUAUCACGAAGAACUCCGAUUG